rnacentral:rRNA from 2 species
AAAUUGAAGAGUUUGAUCAUGGCUCAGAUUGAACGCUGGCGGCAGGCCUAACACAUGCAAGUCGAACGGUAACAGGAAGCAGCUUGCUGCUUUGCUGACGAGUGGCGGACGGGUGAGUAAUGUCUGGGAAACUGCCUGAUGGAGGGGGAUAACUACUGGAAACGGUAGCUAAUACCGCAUAACGUCGCAAGA